rnacentral:rRNA from 1 species
UACGUAGGGUCCGAGCGUUGUCCGGAAUUAUUUGGGCGUAAAGGGCUCGUAGGCGGUCUGUCGCGUCGGGAGUGAAAACUCAGGGCUCAACCCUGAGCGUGCUUCCGAUACGGGGCAGACUAGAGGUAUGCAGGGGAGAACGGAAUUCCUGGUGUAGCGGUGGAAUGCGCAGAUAUCAGGAGGAACACCGGUGGCGAAGGCGGUUCUCUGGGCAUGACCUGACGCUGAUGCACGAAAGUGUGGGGAUCAAACAGG